UUUAACUGUUCUCUAAAACCCGCAGUACUUCUUGCAAAAAUUCUCGAGUCGCGAGUUCGCGUAACCAUGUCACGCCUGCAAAUUUGCUCGGGAGACACUGAUUCUAGUUCGUAGGUGGCACUGGUCAUCAGCGACUUCUUUACCAAGUCGCCAAUUGCAGGAAAUAACAGCCUGUGGACAUGUUUUACCUUCGGAACUUCUUUCGUGCACUCCAGCUUCCUGCAGUUCGAUGUGUUCACGUGUCCUUCGGCUCUCAAUCCCAGUCGUCAGGGAAUCUAUACGUAGGCCAAUAUUGUCGACGUUAUCGAUGUUGCCGAGAUCGAUGGGA